CUGUAAUUCACUAAUCGAGUUUAUACGUUCUUUUCAGGUAAUGUCUUCUUUUACGACCGUUGAUGAGCCGAGUUGCCGCGCAUGUGACUAAUGCGAUGAACAAUAAAGUAAAGUUAACCUAGAGCCGAACUGGAACUGUGGAUUCAACUUGAAAUUAAAUCAGCCUUGCUCGACAUGGAAACUCUGAAACGGUAGCCACAAUGGCGAGAAGACCUUUAAACCAACACCAGGCUCUUAGUUUGCACUUUAAGAUAAAUCAUAUUUACGCAGAGAUACCACGGUCCAGACCUAACACUUUUCCAGUAAUCAAUGUCCGAUCCGGUCCGUUUUCAGCAAUAUUUCCUUUACGUAUGGUAAAACUAUAAUUAACUCUCGCCCAUGCUGUUCUCGGAGCCCUUUGAAAUGCCUUCUUCCAAACGAAGCUAAACAAGUCUACGUCUGACUUUACUGGUGGUAGGACCUCUUGUGAGUCCGCACGGGUAGGUACCACCACCCUGCCUAUUUCUACCGUGAAGCAGUAAUGCGUUUCGGUUUGAAGGGUGGGGCAGCCGUUGUAAGUAUACUGAGACCUUAGAACUUAUAUCUCAUGGUGGGUGGCGCAUUUACGUUGUAGAUGUCUAUGGGCUCCAGUUACCACUUAACACCAGGUGGGCUGUGAGGUCGUCCACCCAUCUAAGAAAAAUAAAUAAAUAAAAAGACAGAAGCGCAACUUAUAGCAUCGCCGGUGCCCUGUUAAUAACCAACUAUCAUCAGAGUUCAAAAUUAUCCCAAUAUCUUAAACAAAUGCGAUUUAAUCCGCGGCCCGCCACACUAAUAGUCGUCACGAUCAUAACAUUCCCAACACAAAGAGAUUUUGGGAGUCUGAAAAACACGACAGCAGUAUCAGUUCCCAAGAUAAGUCCAAUGUGAUGGAUAAGUCGACCGUUCCUUUUAAUUGUAAGGGCUCCAUCAUUUAUAUUGGUGUCGUUUAAUCCGGGUAAGGAUCUGUGGCCGGACGAUGCGUGAUACGGACGUUUUCAGAGAAUCUUAAAAUAAAUGUUUGAUUAUGUUGUUGUUAAUAAUUGUAGGAACGUUUUGUUUAUUUUAAAUUGGUGGACAUUUAUGCUGUGGAAAUUAGUUUGUACUUUAUUAUAUGCACAUAGGUAAUGACAGAGUACUAGAGUCAUGACGCUUGGAAAACGUAGAACAAGGGAGCACAUUCCCAAGCCAAAUAAUACUAGAUAGAAAUGGUCAUUGGAAACACACAAUGGAGGAACGUAAUGAUGCCAAGUAGUAGGGAUAGGGUUUGUCAGAGAUGAGACGGAAUAAUUUCAAACAAAUCUUUAGAGCACUUCCCAUAGAACAAACAGUAUGGAACAAAGAGAGAUCCAAAAUCCGUCUGUUAGACCAGGUCUUUUUAAUAAAAACCGCUUAACGAAUGGCAAUUAUCGCAGUAAAGAGAAUCUAAAAUCGUUAUAAAAUAUGUAGAUGAUUACAGUUCAGCUUAUAAAUAUUAAUAAAACAAAUGGAAAUGUUGCUCAAUUGAUAUUAAACCCACUUUUCUAUGUAGUAAACGAAGCCGUCCACUUAUUAUGUUAACAGACGAGGUAUCGUAACAUAUUUAUGGAUGUAUUUGUUUAGGACGAACCGUACGCUCCUAAAUAUUAAAAGCGAAUGAUAAUUAAAAAUAUAUAUAACGUCUAUAUCAUCUUACAUGUUUUAUUACCUUCGAAACGCUCGUAACCUCUAUCGUUUCAUGUAUGGUUUUGUUAAUUAGAUAUUCCUAGUUUGUUGAAAUUUCAUUUUCGUUUAAAACAUUAUACGGAUGGGUGUUCAUCGUUCAAAGGGAGUAAUGUAAUAUAUAUUGUGUAUUGUUGUCUUUAAAGACCUUGAAUAGAUAAUCCUUCGUGCAAUCUAUUAUGUUUAGAAAGAAAUAAUUAAAAUGAAACCUCAAUUCAACGGAAUUUACGUGUCACGUGUCAAAAUCGAACAGUUUAUUUUUAUAAUUAUUGGGCCAUGCUGAGAUAUGACGCUGAUGGUUACCCUUAAUUGCUCUGCCACGAAUCAACAUUUAUCUCAUACCUCAAAGCUGUUAAAGACAUGAUCAUUAAGAUGUAUAUAGUGCCGCUAGCUUUUUUACACUAGUCGUUGGAACUGUGAGCUCGUUCGCCUAUAAAAAUGCAAAUAAAUCAAACUAAAAAAGUUACGAAUAAGUUUGGGAAUUUAGCAAUAAAAUCGUGUUCUUCUUCUUCUUGCCCUCGUCAUACUGAGUGGGAUCGGCAUGUACUCUUUUUCAUUUGGACCUGCGUGAUCUGUGCACUCACGCUUAUCUUCUUUCAUAUAGCCAUUCAAGUUAUAAACAAUUUAAUAUAUAAGUGUUAUAAUAAAAUGAUACUCUGUACAAUAAAGAGGUCGAUGGGCUGUCUUAAGCUCGCCUAGACGGCGCCUCCAAUUCGUACCCUCAGAGUCCCCGCAUCAGCGUGGGUUGGGAAGUGCUGUCACCCGUAACUUGUAGCUGUAGACCAUCUUGCUCGACGUCUUCUUGUGUCUCCCUCACCAGUUCCUGAGUGAAUACGCUCAAGGAUUAAACAAUAUGUACAAAUGGCGAUAUAUCUAAAAUUGGAUACUAAACAAAAUAAAUAGUAAUAGUGGUCACCGUCGCUCAUGAGCCUAUGCCAGGGGCAGAACCAAACCACGGCUUACUGCCAACAUGAACUUUGAAUCCAAAAUUGUUCAAUCGCUAGGAUAUUUUUUUGCUUUUAAAUAAACAUAAUCCAUUAAA